rnacentral:lncRNA from 1 species
CUUGGCUUGCUCAGAGAGACUCUGGAACCUCCACCAUUAGGCUGGGCUGUGAGAGCAGGAAGAGAUCCUUUUCCGUAUGAGGACAUGUGGGAAAGCAGGGCUAAGAGUCCUGGGCCAGGCCAAUGCAGUGACUCAAGAAGAAGCUGAAGUGCUCCUCAGGCCUUGUGAACUGACCGAAGCAACUGGCGAGGUUCAAAGUUUUAUUUCAGGGAAGGCAGGGUUACCUAGAGCCUGGGUGGGGGUUAAUCAAUGUACAUUCAUCAUUAAUUUAUGCAUGUAAGGGGCUUUGGAGCACAGUCGUCAUGCUGGUUUUGAUAACGCUAACUCUAUCCACCCUGCCAGCUGCUGUGAUGUCGUGGUAGUCUGUGUUGCUGCAUGCAGAAUUAUGGUGCUUUUGUGGGAAUAUUAUGUUCCUUGAAUAGAGCCCCACAGAGCAAUUUGCUUCAUCCUUACAAACCCAUCCAAAUAACUGGCAGUGCCUUACAAAUACAAAACAAUCG